rnacentral:lncRNA from 1 species
GGGAAAAGGGGGGGCAUCAAACUCUAAAGCCUUGAGCUUUAUCCACCUUGGAAAUGAAAAGUUUCUGAUGGCUUCUGGAAAGCUGCCCAUGAUCAGGAACCACCACACACUCACAGCACGUAGAGAAGAAAGAAUGUUUUAGGUUAGAAGCGCAAGACCCCAGUUCUCUGCCCUGAAGAUGUUGGGGAUAUAUGUGAAUCCCCCUGCAUCCAGAUCCAAACAAAAUGAACCCCAUGUACUUUGUAAGAACUUUACCAGUGAAGUUACUGCAAAGAAAGGAGAGCUAAGUGGGGAGAAGAGGCUUUUCUCUUCUGUACUGCAGGUCAUGCUGUCCCCAGACAAGGUCACUGGAAAGCAGUUUGCUGGGAUGAACUGAUGCCCAAAGAAUAAUCAGAUCAGUUUAAAAGUCUGAUUGCCUUUCGGUCUUUUUAGUUAGCUAACACCUUCAUUUUAAAAGUUAGGAAAAAAAGAAUAAGACUUACAUGCUGUUUGAGGAACAAGUGAAAAAAUCCUUUAAAAACACGUAAUGUGAAAAAAACAGAAAUCGCAUCAGUCUGCUUGCU